rnacentral:rRNA from 1 species
ACUUUACAGUUUAGUUUAUAUUUUUUGAAGUAAGGUUUUAUAUUAAUUAUAAAUAUUCUGUUAUGUUGGGGCGACAAAGAUAUAAUGAGUAACUGUCAAGCACAUUAAAUAAUAAUAAUUAGGUAGUUGAUCCUUUAUUAAAGAUUAAAAGAUUAAGUU